rnacentral:rRNA from 1 species
UACGAAGGGGGCUAGCGUUGCUCGGAAUCACUGGGCGUAAAGCGCACGUAGGCGGCUUUCUAAGUCAGGGGUGAAAUCCUGGAGCUCAACUCCAGAACUGCCUUUGAUACUGGGAAGCUCGAGUCCGGAAGAGGUGAGUGGAACUCCGAGUGUAGAGGUGAAAUUCGUAGAUAUUGGGAAGAACACCGGUGGCGAAGGCGGCGCUCUGGACCGAGACUGACGCUGAGGCGCGAAAGCGUGGGGAGCAAACAGG